AAACAAGCCUCAUCACAACUCUUACACAAUCUCUCAAGAGUAAAGUGCUGGCGAUAAACAAACAUACAUUGCCUAUUUUGUAAACUAGACACUAGUAGAGUUUUUCGGGUCAUUGCCUUCUUGCUGAGCCUGAGUCUUAGAACCGUCCUUCUUCUCCAUGACUUGCUGGAUCCCUUCUUGAUAUCCUUCAAUAAAGCUUUUGAGACCGUCUCUAUAAGCAGAAGCUCUAGUCAUGUAGACUCGCUGCAGAGCAGGCCUUAAGGUCUCCAUUCCCCCUCUCGCAGCCACCGCUAAUUAUUUUAAUUAAUUUUUGUUAUAAAAUAAAUUAUGGAAUAAGCAUCAGAAUUUAACACAAACUCCACUUGCAAUGCAAUUGUAAAACAAAGUAUCUAAAGACAUGAAUGAUAACAAUAAUUUAAUUUAGCUCACAUAAUCAAUAAUCAAAAUUAAGAAAGAAAUCUCACCAAGAUCUUCAAGCACGGAGGGUUCCUUGGGUUUAUCAGCAGUUGGUUGAUUGGCAUCUUCUCUCGCAUUCACAUCGUCAUUAUCCUUCUUAUAAUCAUUCGGCCGAAGAUCCGGACCAAUAUCCCUCACCCAGCUUGCCCCAUAAAGCCUCGAUGCCUCCUUCAACACCUUUACCCCCAAAAAAAAAUUUUUUUUUUUUAAUUUUUUGAAAGAAGAAGAUCGAUGAAGAGAAUGAAAAGUGGGGGGUUACUUACUAGCCAACGCUCGUGCCAAGUCAGUUUGCAGCGUUUUUUGAUGUGAGGAGGAUCGGGAAGCGACGAUGGAAAUGCAAUUUCUUUUAAGUCGUAUCGAAUGUAAUCGUACACCUUCCGACAGACUACUUUUACCUUCAUUCUCUUUCUGCGUUUCUCUUCCGCCUGCGAACCAGUGCGCGGGCACUAAUACUGUUACUGAUUACACUUUACACACACUCCCUGAAACAGAAACAGAACCCCCAAACCAUUGGAAUAGGCUAGGAAAUUUAAGGGCUUGGCAAAAAGUCCAAGCUCUCUCAAAGCCCAUCCAAUCUGAACGGGCCUGGGCUUCAACCAAAUUUUAAAUAAUUUUUUAAUAAAACUAUAAAUUUUAAAAUUCUAUAUGGUUGCUGCAGCGUUCUCAUCAAUUUUUUCUGACAAUUAAUCAAAUAUCAUAUAAAAAAAAUUCUAUAUGAAAUUCUUUAAAUCCCUCUCUUCUUCCUUCCGGCCUAUUUAAUUUUUAGCCCUCUGCAAUUUGCUUCUACUAUCUCCAUUUUUAAUUGCUUUGAAAUUAACAAUUGCAUUUAUCAUCAUAAUUUCUUUUCUAAUGCAUCUGAGACAGAAUAUGAAAGAAAGAAACACCAAGUGGAUAAAUAGCCACCAUAUCCGCUUGCAAAGCAAACAAAAAGCCAAAGGCAAGUAUAAAGUCAAGAUGGGAAUAAAUAUACAUUUUUUUCCCAGGUGAUUCAAGAGACUUUAAGAACAUCAAGCAUACUCUCAUUCACUUUUAAAGAAGCUGUACAAGAUGUAGAAUUUGAAGGCUAUAUAAUCCCUAGAGGUUGGAAAGUGCUUCCUCACAUACAUCCAAUGAAGGAAACUAGAAGCAGAAGGCAGUCAGUAGGUUGCAGAGAAAUUAAAGCAGAACGAGAAAAUUAAUUCAAAUAUUACGUGGUUGCUGCAGCGUCGCGCAGCUGUGCUUGUGGGUGGGGUUCGCUGCUGCGUCGUGCGGGAGAUGCUGUGUGGGCCAGGUGGCUGGACGGUGGGUUGCGCGGGAGAUGCUGGCUGAUGGAAUCUGGAUGCGCUGUUGGCUGCCGGCGGCGAGAACAGUGAGAAGCUGGCACGGUGACGGUGAGUGAGGGUGCUGACGCCGCUGACGGAAAUGAGGGAUUUAGAUUUUAGGGAUUUUGGUUUUGGGUCUUGGAACGGAGCAGUGAGAGCCUGAGAGCAGUGUUUUAUUUUUCAAUUUUUCAGUUUUUUUAAUUUGAUUUUUAUAAUAUAUUAUAAAGUUUUUAAUUUAAAAAUAUAUAUAUUAUUUAUUAUAAGCCCCGGGCCUAAGCCUGAGCUUUUGGGUGUAGCCCUUGACUGAGCCCAUUAUAUAUGGGCCUUCGAAAUUACAAGUCCUUAUCCAUCAUUCUAAGCCACGGGCUGGGCUUAAAAUCCGCGGGUCUGGGCCGGCCUGAGCUUUUCUGCCAAUCUUACUUUGGAAUGCGACAGCUGCGAGUGUCGAUUUUGAAAAAGCUUGGGCCUCCGAUUUUUGGGUGGGCUUUGUCUUAGCUAGCCCGCGCUCUUCUUUUUCCUCCUAAAGAAAAACAAAUAUAUAAGGGAAAACUGUGGUACCGUGCCACAAUUGCAUUCAGUCAUUAGAUCUCAAUGAACCCCACCCAUUUAAGUGGAUCCAACUGCUAGAUGCAACUGUGGCAUGAUACCACAGUUGCACCGUAGCCAGACCCAAAUAUAUAUUACUAUUAUUAUUAUUAUUAUUAUUAUUAUUAUUAUUAUUAUUAUUAUUAUUAUUAUUAUUAUUAUUAUUAUUAUUAUUAUUAUUAUUAUUAUUAGGGAAAAUGAUAAACACACCCACAAACGUUUAGGUAAAGGGACAAAAACCUCCCUUAAUGUUUCAAAAAAAAUAUUUACACCCCAAUUUAUUAUAAUUUUACCAUUAUACCCUUCUAGCAUAUAAAAAAAAUUUAUUAGAUUAUCCAAUUUGUCUAUAUAUUGUUAAUAAAAUUAUAAAUAGACAAAUUAGAUAUUAUAAAAAAAUUAUAAAUAUACCAUCAUUGCUCAAUUCCUCUAUUUAAAUUUUUAUCAGUAACCAAUUUUCAAAAAAGACAUCUAUACACCUAAAAAAUUUAUAAAUAAAUUAUAAUUUAAAAAAUAAAAUUAGUUAUUAACAACUAAUUUUAUUUAAACUUUAAACCUGUAUAUUUAACAAUUCUCCACAUGUCAAUCAUUUAAACUUGUACAUUUAUAACCAAUUUUCUAUGUUGUUUAUUAUGGUAUUAAUAACUAAUUUUAUUUUUAAAAUUAUAAUUUAUUUAUAAUUUUUUUAAGUGUAUAGAUGUCUUUUUUAAAAAUUAAUUAUUAAUAAAAAUUUAAAUAGAAGAAUGAGACAAUGUGGGUAUAUUUAUAAUUUUAUUAACAAUAUAUAGAUAAAUUGAAUAAUCUAAUAUUUUUUUAUAUGCUAAAAAUGGUAUAAUAAUAAAAUUAUAAUAAAUUAUGAGUGUAAAUAUUUUUUUUGAAAUAUUAGGAGAAUUUUUGUCCUUGGGUGUGUUUGUCCUUUUCCCUUAUUAUUAUUAAAAAAAGAUUUUAUUUUGAAAACUAGACACUAGUAGAGUUUUUCGGGUCAUUGCCUUCUUGCUGAGCCUGAGUCCUAGAACUGUCCUUCUUCUCCAUGACUUGCUGGAUCCCUUCUUGAUAUCCUUCAAUAAAGCUUUCGAGAGCAUCUCUAUAAGCAGAAGCUCUAGUCAUGUAGACUCGCUGCAGAGCAUGCCUUAAGGUCUCCAUUCCCCCUCUCGCAGCCACCACUAAUUAUUUUAAUUAAUUUUUGUUAUUAAAUAAAUUACGGAAUAAACAUCAGAAUUUAACACAAACUCCACUUGCAAUGCAAUUGUAAA
rnacentral:lncRNA from 1 species